rnacentral:rRNA from 1 species
GGGUUGUGAGGUUAAGCGACUAAGCGUACACGGUGGAUGCCCUGGCAGUCAGAGGCGAUGAAGGACGUGCUAAUCUGCGAUAAGCGUCGGUGAGGUGAUAUGAACCGUUAUAACCGGCGAUUUCCGAAUGGGGAAACCCAGUGUGUUUCGACACACUAUCAUUAACUGAAUCCAUAGGUUAAUGAGGCGAACCGGGGGAACUGAAACAUCUAAGUACCCCGAGGAAAAGAAAUCAACCGAGAUUCCCCCAGUAGCGGCGAGCGAACGGGGAGGAGCCCAGAGCCUGAAUCAGUGUGUGUGUUAGUGGAAGCGUCUGGAAAGGCGUGCGAUACAGGGUGACAGCCCCGUACACAAAAAUGCACAUAUUGUGAGCUCGAUGAGUAGGGCGGGA